rnacentral:rRNA from 1 species
CAGAGUUAGAUUCAUGGCUCAGGACGAACGCUGGCGGCGUGCCUAAUACAUGCAAGUCGAGCGGACAGAUGGGAGCUUGCUCCCUGAUGUUAGCGGCGGACGGGUGAGUAACACGUGGGUAACCUGCCUGUAAGACUGGGAUAACUCCGGGAAACCGGGGCUAAUACCGGAUGGUUGUUUGAACCGCAUGGUUCAAACAUAAAAGGUGGCUUCGGCUACCACUUACAGAUGGACCCGCGGCGCAUUAGCUAGUUGGUGAGGUAACGGCUCACCAAGGCAACGAUGCGUAGCCGACCUGAGAGGGUGAUCGGCCACACUGGGACUGAGACACGGCCCAGACUCCUACGGGAGGCAGCAGUAGGGAAUCUUCCGCAAUGGACGAAAGUCUGACGGAGCAACGCCGCGUGAGUGAUGAAGGUUUUCGGAUCGUAAAGCUCUGUUGUUAGGGAAGAACAAGUACCGUUCGAAUAGGGCGGUACCUUGACGGUACCUAACCAGAAAGCCACGGCUAACUACGUGCCAGCAGCCGCGGUAAUACGUAGGUGGCAAGCGUUGUCCGGAAUUAUUGGGCGUAAAGGGCUCGCAGGCGGUUUCUUAAGUCUGAUGUGAAAGCCCCCGGCUCAACCGGGGAGGGUCAUUGGAAACUGGGGAACUUGAGUGCAGAAGAGGAGAGUGGAAUUCCACGUGUAGCGGUGAAAUGCGUAGAGAUGUGGAGGAACACCAGUGGCGAAGGCGACUCUCUGGUCUGUAACUGACGCUGAGGAGCGAAAGCGUGGGGAGCGAACAGGAUUAGAUACCCUGGUAGUCCACGCCGUAAACGAUAGUGCUAACUGUUAGGGGGUUUCCGCCCCUUAGUGCUGCAGCUAACGCAUUAAGCACNCCGCCUGG